UACCGAGGGUGCAAGCGUUGUUCGGAAUUAUUGGGCGUAAAGGGCGCGUAGGCGGUCGUGACAAGUCACUUGUGAAAUCUCCGGGCUUAACUCGGAACGGUCAAGUGAUACUGUCGGACUAGAGUACAGAAGGGGCAACUGGAAUUCUCGGUGUAGCGGUGAAAUGCGUAGAUAUCGAGAGGAACACCUGCGGCGAAGGCGGGUUGCUGGGCUGAUACUGACGCUGAGGCGCGAAAGCUAGGGGAGCAAACGGG
rnacentral:rRNA from 1 species